rnacentral:rRNA from 1 species
AGCAUCGCAUGAUGCAGUGUGAAAAAUUCCGGUGGUGUGAGAUGGACCCGCGUUGGAUUAGCUAGUUGGCAGGGCAGCGGCCUACCAAGGCGACGGUCCAUAGCCGGCCUGAGAGGGUGAACGGCCACAUUGGGACUGAGACACGGCCCAGACUCCUACGGGAGGCAGCAGUGGGGAAUAUUGCACAAUGGGGGAAACCCUGAUGCAGCGACGCCGCGUGAAGGAAGAAGUAUCUCGGUAUGUAAACUUCUAUCAGCAGGGAAGAAAAUGACGGUACCUGACUAAGAAGCCCCGGCUAACUACGUGCCAGCAGCCGCGGUAAUACGUAGGGGGCAAGCGUUAUCCGGAUUUACUGGGUGUAAAGGGAGCGUAGACGGUGUUGCAAGUCUGAUGUGAAAGGCGGGGGCUCAACCCCUGGACUGCAUUGGAAACUGUGAUACUCGAGUGCCGGAGAGGUAAGCGGAAUUCCUAGUGUAGCGGUGAAAUGCGUAGAUAUUAGGAGGAACACCAGUGGCGAAGGCGGCUUACUGGACGGUAACUGACGUUGAGGCUCGAAAGCGUGGGGAGCAAACAGAAGUAGAUCCCCUGGUAGUCCACGCCGUAAACGAAGAAUAUUAGGUGUCGGGGAGCAGAACUCUUCUUUUCCCCACCAAACACAAUAAAUAUUCCACCUCCCGAAUACAUUCUCAACAAUAAAACUCAAAAAAAUUAACAAANACCCCCACAACCCCUAAAACAUAUAAUUUAAUUCUAAACAACACAAAAAACCUUACCAACUCUUUACAUCCCUCUUACCACACCUUAACCAAUACUUUCCUUCUUUACACAAAAAACAAAUAAUACAUAAUUAUCUUCACCUCUUCUCUUUAAAUAUUAAAUUAAAUCCCCCAACAAACACAACCCUUAUCCUUAUUAACCACCACUCCCCCCCCCCACUCUUUUUAAACUACCACCCAUAACCUCCAAAAAAAUAAAAAUAACAUCAAAUCAUCAUCCCCCCUAUCAUUUAUUCUACACACCUCCUACAAUAACAUAAACAAAAAAAAACAAUCACCUCACUAUAAACAAAUCUCAAAAAUAACAUCCCACUUCAAACUAUAAUCUUCAACCCCACUACAC